UACGUAGGGUGCAAGCGUUGUCCGGAAUUAUUGGGCGUAAAGAGCUCGUAGGCGGUUUGUCGCGUCUGCUGUGAAAAUCCAGGGCUUAACCCUGGACCUGCAGUGGGUACGGGCAGACUAGAGUGCGGUAGGGGAGAUCGGAAUUCCUGGUGUAGCGGUGAAAUGCGCAGAUAUCAGGAAGAACACCCGUGGCUAAGGCGGCUCUCUAGUACGGUACUGACGCUGAGACGCGAAAGCGUGGGGAGCGAACAGG
rnacentral:rRNA from 1 species